rnacentral:rRNA from 1 species
AUGUCGACCUGCGCCUACCACUCGCCGCGCUUCUCUGAGGAUGACGCGUGGCUCCCGCAAUGGCUUCAGCCGCAUCGGCAGCCGACGGCCGGCGAGCACCGAAGAGACAGCCCCGGCGUGUCGUCGCCGCCUUGUGAGGACUGUGUGUGCAUUGUGGACCCUGCACAAGAGCAACGGAGUUGUCGGAAUGCCGCCCUAAGUGCUGAUGGUUACAGCGGGUUCCGUCUGCAUCUGUCGGGAGACGAGGAUACACCUGCUGAAAAUACUCCAACAGGCAGAGAGGUGCUGCCUUUCUCUCUGCACCUUUCUUCAGAAAGUGCAGCACAACUCUCCUCAGUUCAAGCCAAUGUUAGCCCUCAGAUUCUAAACUCUGGUGCAUGCAAAGGACCGUUCAAGGGCUCUUAUGUUGAUGGUCAAGUACAAGAGAUCAAAGCUGUACAAGAGGCUAAAAGCAUUAAGGAUAAUAAGCAACUAGAAGUUGGUAGAGUGGCUAGCAAGGAUAUCUCCUCAGUUCAAGCCAAUGUUAGCCCACAGAUUCUGAAUUCUGGUACAUGCAAAGGACCAUUAAAGGACUCUUAUGUUGAUGGUCAAGCACAAGAGAUCAAAGCUGUGCAAGAGGCUAAAGGCCUUAAGGAUGAUACACAACAAGGAGUCCGUAGAGUGGCUAGCAAGGAUGUCACUAAACCACUUGGUGCAAGAAAACAUCAACCAUCUGGUGGAAAAGUUGAUGUUCAGAAGCUCCGUAAGGCAGAUGCUAAUGAUGCGGUUGAGCUAUCUAUUGCUGCUUCUGAGGCUAUGGUUAUUGCAGAAAUGAUACUUGAUGAUUGCCAGCCUGAUAAGUUGACUGCAGCUGCCCUCGAAGCUGCUCUGCGUGUAAAGGAAGCUCGGAAACAGUGUUUUCUUGAGGAAACAGAACAUGAUAGUGGAUCCUUUCAAAAUGAUCGGGAUGAGAGCGAUUGGCUUGCAGAAUUGGAUGAGAUCGAAAUGCUUGAUGUAUUUGAAGAUGUUGGCCUGUGUACUGUUCAAACUGCUUGUUCAUCUCAAGGCCACAACACAACUAACUUGAAACAGAGCAUCUCUCAGCCUAGUUGUGCCCCACAUGAUGUAGACAUUUGUUCUUCCGAGGAGCAAAAUAAAGAAUGGCACAGCCAAGAUGCUUAUACCAGUGACCAUGUACCUGAUUCUUUGGCAGAGAAUAGUUCUGCUGGUACGCUAGUAAAAGAAUCAAGUCCAGGAUGUGUUUCUAUAAAGCAACUAGCUCAAGAUAAAGCAAUCUCUUGCUCGAGAAAUGAGGAAGCUGCUUUCGAGAAGUUGACUCAAAACAACCGUGCUUUUACUGAGAACUUGAGGAAUCCAGUAAGAGGUCAAAAUAUCACAAAGGAAGCUGGAAGAAUUGUUGAAGAGACGAAGUUUGGUGGUCGUGCAAGGAAGCAUAUAAGGACUAGCUUCAUUUCUGAGUCAAUGGAUAGCAUGAAUGAGUGCUCUCCUGCACCUAGAGCGACAUCGACAGAAAUGGUUGCCUCUUCAAGAGCAUCUUUUCUCCAAAAGAAUGAAGGUUUCCAUGGAGAGGUUCAAAGUGCAGAGUCGUGCCAUCAAGUAGUAUGUUCAAGCUUAUCACCUGAGGAUCCUCUCUGUUCAUUUGUUCCGUGUAGCAUAUCUUGCAAUGAAGUAUCCACUAGUCAACCUCCUGAAUGUAAACAGAGGAAUGAGGAAAACAGUGAACCAGUAUAUCGCAAGGAAUCUCUGAAGAAUGACCUAGAUGUAGAAGCCGGUCCAUCUUCUGUGCCGUUAGAUAAGGUACAAGAAUCUAAUCCAUGGAGGCGAAGAACACAUAGUUCCCUCAGGCCUUUUAGCAUGCUAGGACCUAUAUCAAACAUCUCGGGAGGUAGUCUGGCUCAUAAUGAUGUUAAUGUGGCAGUUUGUCAGAAGGAGAGAAGCGCACCGAUAAUCUUAAAUAAGAAGAUACAGCGUAUCCGAGCCUCUAAUCAGUUCACUGAAAACAAUGCUGAAGCUGGAAGCUUGAACGAAUUUUCUUUGGUUCAGAAGAAGUCAUCUGAUGCUCAAGAUGAUAACGAGCAUCACAACAAAGAGCAAUAUAUCCCAUCAGAAGUUUUGCCUCAACCCACAACAUAUUUGAGUGUUGGUAAACGAGGCCUUAAAAGAAAAGGACCCCAAUUGUUGAAUGCUAAACUUAGUACUAGACAAACCAAGAGCAGAAGGGUUAAAUCUCGAUUCAGUUGGUCUGAAAGCAGAGUUGCUGACAUGCAGGAGCCCAGGGAAUGCACUAGCAAAAAAGAAGCCAUAUUUCAUGGACUAGAGUUCUUGGUGACUGGAUUUCAAAGUCAUAAGGAGAAAGAGAUUGUGUCUGUAAUACGGAAAUUUGGAGGUUGUGUUCUUUCUAAAGUGCCACCCUGUCCAUUUGAUAAAAAAAGCAAGCUUGCAGAGCUCGAGAGGUGGAAGCCUCCUGUAGUUCUUUCCCCUAAAAAGGUAUCAACAGCUAAGUUCUUAUAUGGUUGUGCUACCGAUUCCUGGAUUUUGAAUUCCAAUUGGCUUUUUGAUUCUCUUCAAGCUGGUUUACUGUUGCCACCUGGAAAGUAUUUAAUUCGACAAAGGCAUACAGUGGAGAUUUCAACAUUUGGCCAAUCAGUUUACCUAAGAAAUAAUAAAUUGGUAUUUCAUGGAGUAGGAUUCUUGAUCCACGGCAAAAUCAGCUUCUGUUCAAAAUUUUCGAACAUUAUCAAGCAUGGAGGUGGCCAAGUUUUUGUAUCUCUUCAAGGAUUAAUUCAAAGCUUGAAGGAUAAAAGUUGUUCGCGCGGAAUCAUUCUUGUUGCAAAUGAGGCGAGCGCAUCACGUCAUCUAAGUCAUUGUGGGCUGGAACAUGACAUAAAAACAGCGCCAGCAAGCUGGAUCAUAGGCAGUCUGUUUUCUGGGAAGCUGAUUCACCUGAAGAAAGACCGGUGCGCCCCAUUCCGGCGGAUUAAGAUGCCAUUAUUCCAACAACAGCGUGCAUUUGAGAUGAGUCAAGAAAUAUAA